rnacentral:lncRNA from 1 species
CACCUCUUGCGCUCGGAAGGUAAAUUAUGGUCGCAAGGUAGCAAUGAGUUUCGUAGAAUGCAAACUUCAUUCUCAGUGCCCUUUGAAGCUGUUAAACCAAAUUAACAACACAAUUGCCUAGUCACUUAUUCCGGAUCUUAAAACCUAUGCAAGGUAGAUUUGCAAGGCUCAUUAAUCCAAUGCUUUAUUUCGGUGAAGAUUGAGAUCUAAGAGGAUAGGAAACGAAAGGGGUGAGUUUUACCAUUUGAUAGGCUGCAAUAUGAACUCCAUCCCCUUUGAUGGCGUCGUCUUCCUCAGCCGGCCUCCACUCUCACCCAUGCAUCGAGCAUUGUCAGUUAUGAUUAAUGAACAUUUACAUCAAAAUUUCAUAUUUCUCUGCCACAUAUAUACACAAUUAGAUGGAUGACAAAACUGAAAACUAAAUCUGAAGCAUCUGUUGCNNNNNNNNNNUCCGGGAGGUGGUUGGCGGCGAUUGGUGCCACGACAACCUCCCGGACUAGUUUGGGGAGGUCUUUAGACUCCCCGACGCUAGUCGCCCUCCCACUUGGGUAGCUCUGGGUACCCUGGCAUGGACCCUCUGGUGUACCCAUAAUAAACUAGUCAUUGAGCGUGUGAUUCCUCGUCGUGUGACCGAUGCAAUCUAUAAAAUGUGUGGCUUCUUACAGCUUUGGAGACCGCUUAGCAAGCGGCGCGACCGAGACGUCAUCGACAACAUCAUUGCGGGUCUUCGUUCUUCGGCGUCGGCUUUUGCCCCUCCACUGCCUCCUAAGCCGGAUUAGCUUUUUUAGCUUUGUUUGGGGCUUGUCUUGCUGUGCCCCCAGCAUGACUUUAUGACUUGUUUGUACUCUGUACUGCUGUGUUGGAUGCUUGGUUCGUUGUUUUAUAAUAUAAAGCGGGGGGAAACCCUUUUUCUCAACUAGACGGUGGAGAUAUCAGGUUCAGUUGAGCCAAGGCUCAGAAAGAAUAUUCGUCCAAAGUAGCAAAUAUCCAUUUCUGAGCGCGAUCUCAUCAGCACCAUAUGAACAGUAAAAUAAAAUAAAUACUACAAAAAAUAAAUAAAAAGUGCAUGGAAGAUGUUUCAGUGCGUGAGGUCCGUGCAAAAUUUCAGCUUGUUUGAACAUCUGAGUAGCUCUUAGCAAAAGAAAACUGCCAAAAUAGUACAUGAACAGUACACUGUUUCACAAACAUCAAAUUUGUCUAUUUUGCUGAGAGCUACUCAGAUGUCCAAAUGAGCUGAAAUUUGGCAUGGACCUCACACACUGAAAUGUCUAUCUUGCAAAAAGGAAUUUUUUUUAUUUUUUCUAGUAUUUUAUUUGAUUUUACUGUUCAUGGCCAGUGUAGAUGAGCUCGGGAGCCAAUUUGCCCCUAUCCCAAAGUAGCUACUUUUCUGUCUAAAGUUGUUGAACCUAAAAUUUGGCACUUCAAACUGGACAUGUCACGUAUGCACAACAGUAGUUUUCUUUGAGUUCCAUGUGCACACCUGUCUGUAUCAUGUGUAAGAUAUUGUCGAAUGCAUAGCACUGGUCGCUUCCGGGUGUGCAAAACCGAACCGUAAACCAAAAACCAAACCGAGCCAAAAUUUUGGGGUUUUCAAGUUUCGGUUUCAGUUUCAGUUUUGAAGUCUGAAAACCGUUUGCAUUUCGAUUGGUUAAACCGUUUGCAUUUCAAUUGGGCUGCUAUAGUACAAUACUUUCUAGCCAUUUAGUGCUUCAGUUUACGUGAUAGUAAACAUGCACGUGCAACGCACGUCUAGACAAACAUACUAUGGCUAAAGUUCGGCAAAAACAACUCUUACAUUUUACACAUAUUCUCUGCACAAGGCAAACUGAUGCAUGAAAGCACUCCAUGUUACUACUUAGAUCUUGUGGACCGCUUUUUUGUAUUUUUACUACAAUAGUUUGUAUCUGUACAAUAAGAAGCUCCCCCAUUGUUUUUGUCCAAACAAAUAGUCCAGUUCUAAUAUUCUCUUUAACAAAAACAAAGUGCAGCUCACAUGAUAUUAAAAAACAUAACCUUCACUUCCCGGGGAAAGAAGUAUAUAAAGGAGUGCGUUCCGCAUCCCCUGUGAUCACCAAAAUAGUAAGCAGGGAGGAUAACAUAGCGAACUCACAGUUGUCAUUUGUACAUUAGAAGAAAACUUGUACCAUAAAUCAACAAAUGUGCAUCUUACAAUNNNNNNNNNNAAGGACGGCAGGAACGGUGAUGACUGCACCUCUUGCGCUCGGAAGGUAAAUUAUGGUCGCAAGGUAGCAAUGAGUUUCGUAGAAUGCAAACUUCAUUCUCAGUGCCCUUUGAAGCUGUUAAACCAAAUUAACAACACAAUUGCCUAGUCACUUAUUCCGGAUCUUAAAACCUAUGCAAGGUAGAUUUGCAAGGCUCAUUAAUCCAAUGCUUUAUUUCGGUGAAGAUUGAGAUCUAAGAGGAUAGGAAACGAAAGGGGUGAGUUUUACCAUUUGAUAGGCUGCAAUAUGAACUCCAUCCCCUUUGAUGGCGUCGUCUUCCUCAGCCGGCCUCCACUCUCACCCAUGCAUCGAGCAUUGUCAGUUAUGAUUAAUGAACAUUUACAUCAAAAUUUCAUAUUUCUCUGCCACAUAUAUACACAAUUAGAUGGAUGACAAAACUGAAAACUAAAUCUGAAGCAUCUGUUGC